UUUUUUUUCGUUUUCCCACUCAAGUCUCGAAUAAAAUCUGAAAAAGAAAUGAAAAAAAAAAAUCUUCUCACGUUUUUAAUGAUAAAACAAAUAAAAAAUCUCCAUCUUGUUUCCCUGCCUUCAAACUCGAUUCAGAUCUAGAUUUCACACUUUCUCUCAUUUUCUUUAUCUUCUUCUUCCUCCUCAUUCUUUGCUGAGUUAUCAAGGUUUUCUUUAUACUGUUGAUUUCUUUAUUGUUCAGACUUUCGAUUCGGACAUAAAUCAAAAGUUAGAGAAGAGAGACGAGUAAGAGAAGAGAGAAUAGAGAAGAGAUAGAGUUCGGAACUGGCAAAGAAAGGAGAAGACGUGACGGCCGGAAUAAGCAGGGACGUCGCUCGGAGAUGGGAAGAGGAAGAAGAGGAGAUGACAGAAGAAGAAGCGGAGUGGUGUCGGAGAUGGCUGGUGAAGAAGACGCGACGGCAGCGGAGAUCCUUAAACUAGGAAGAAGAAGAAGAUCCGGUGUGGUCAGAGCCGGUCUUGAAGAAUUGGGGCCCCUAAUCUAAUUUUUUUUACUACAAGUUUAUUUAUAUUCAAAGUUUUAGCAGAAAAAAGUUUAUUUAUAUUCCCUUUAUAUUUUUUCAUAAAUUUUACUAAAAAAUAUUUUAUAUUAUAACCAUAGUAAUGGUUUUACUUAAAAAAAAUAAUUUACAAAAAAAAUUAUGUCGACCAAAAAAAAAAUCUAAGUAACAAUAGGUUUAGUUUUUUAAAACGUAUUCUUGUAAGUGAGUUUACAAAGAAAAUUAUUUCUGAUGACUGAUAACAGAGUUAUUUUCUUCUGUAAUAUUAGUUUAGUUUAGAAAAAAUAACUCAGUUUUUUUGAAAAUGAGGGCCCCUUGAGGUGGAGGCCCCAUUCAAAUGUUUCACCCCCCCCACCCCACAAGCCCAGCUCUGGGUGUGGUGACAGAAGAAUAAGAAUUUGGUCAAAUACAUAUCUCGAUAAGUACGCGAAGCCAGAGUAUGAGAUUGGAUUUCCAGGAGUACUAGAGCUUGUUAAGGAGCUAAAUAAUUUAUGGUUUCGUUGAGAUUCCAUAUACCAACCGGUUCCUUUUGCCGUAGAUUGCUUUUCAAGAAGCCACAAGGUCUCUACAUCAGCUUGAAAGAGAAGAGUGUUUUAGUAUCUCUCUCUUACCAUCUCACUUCCCUUUUCUUUUUUUGGAAUACUAAGGUGAAUAUAUAUGUUAUUUAGGGGCAAUAUUCUUAAAGUGUUGAAAGCUAUUCGUGAAUCCACUGAGUGGUCAUCACUUAGUGAAGCUCCUCAGUUUAGUUGAAGGCAAGUAAUUCUACACUGGAAGCAAGUUUCUUUUAUUCUCUUUGUAACUUUUAGUGUUCCAGAUGUGCUAACAUUACAGUGAUCGACUUCUUUGCCUUAACAAGUUGCUUCUCUUUCGGCUCUUCAACAACAGAUUCUUUCAAAGUCUCUUCGCUCUUGACAUCUGCAGUAGAAGUCGUCUUCUCUGUCGAAUCCAAAGAGGGAGGAGAGAUAUUUCUUCACUGGUAAACAAUGGUGAAAGCAGUAGUUGGAGAAGAGGCUAGGCUCACCUCUGCUGAAGAUCGUCUCUCUCACUCCGCUAUUCCUGCUGAGGUGGGUCUUGUGAUAGGGAAGCUUAGCUCUGUUUUAGAUUGUGGAUUUGUGUUUGAGAGAGCAUGCUCGGUUCUGGGGACCAGAGAUGAUAAAAGGAAGCCAUCCAAGUCAAAAUCUCAGUCAUCGGAGUCGUAUUCUCUGUCGAUUGAUCGUGAUAGUAAACAAUCGCUGUAGUGCAUUCCUGGUUUAGACUUUGGUUUAGUUUUGGUUAUUUUGUAAACAAUUUUUAUAUAUAAAAUUUAAAAUAUUUUUAUUUAUAUUUUUUUAGUUUUUUUAAUAAUCUAUAAUAGCGAUUAUUACGUGCGAUUAUAAGAAAUACAAUUGCACAACUAAUGAAACGCUUUCAAAGCAUAUAUAAAACGCUAUCUAAAGUGCUCGAGAAAAGAUUGCGGGGGAAGAUACAACGUUUGCCAUAACGCUGUGCUAUUUUGCAAUAGUAUUUUCCUCAUGCUAUAUAUGAGACAUGUUUUUGUAGUGAGAGUGUUACUUGUUCAAACUUUGAGAUGCAAGCGUAAUGUGAUGUAGCAAACGAUGCUACUUGUAGCUAGUUUCUUGUGUUCUUACUUGUUCCUUUUGAAUUUUGGCAGGCAUUGAUUACAUUGAAGAAGGGCUUUCAGCUUUUGAUAUAUGGUUGCAAAGGAAAGGCAAAGUUUUAUCCUUUUAGAUUGUCUAGUCGUUUUCUGCUGUAUCUGAGAAAAGUAUUCUCGUUGGUGUUAGUUUUGCAGGAUGAUAAGCCUUUGAUCUUGAUAUCUAGUAGCAGCGAAAAGAGUAAGUUAGCUUCUGUAUCUAAAGUUGUACCUGGAAAAAGAACUUUACUUUGGUUUAAGGAAAUGUGCGGGGCAAAUUACAAUCAAGUAUGGAGAUACCUGUUUUGCGGACUCCCAGCAAACGGAAUCAAACCACAGCUCCAUCAACAGCCACGACAAGAAGCAGAUGAUGAUCAAGGAAGUGAUGUGGAGGAGAUCACACGAGUAGAGUUCAGACUCUCCAUGGGAUACUUUAUACGUGUUGAGGAAGCGGAAGAAGACAUCGAUCCUAUGUUCCGGAGAGUUGUCCAAAAACUCAAAGACAAUGCACGCCCAAAACGAGAACAAGGAGAGUCCUCACGAGGCAAGUCUCGUCGCCGAGACUAAGGCAUUGUACCAACACUUUUCAUGUGAGAUAGAGAUCAAAAUAAAUUGAGAUGUUUGCUUGUAGUUGUUUCUUCUCACUUUAUUUUUUACUAGUGAUUACAUUUAUGAUUUUCCUUUGACGUUGAAUGAAAACUUCGAGAACAAGGGAACUGGAAUAUACCCAAUUUUUAUAUAUCAAAAUUUUAAAAUA